rnacentral:misc_RNA from 1 species
GGGCGGCAUGAUCGCGUCGGUGCCCCGAAAGGGGCUUAAUAGGGAACGCGGUGAGGGUGGUUCGCCACCUGAAGCCGAGGCUGUCCCUGCAACUGUAAGCGGCGAGCGCGAUGCAUUUCGCUUCUUCCUGAACCGGAAGAAGCAGCCACUGGGCC